rnacentral:rRNA from 1 species
GACGAACGCUGGCGGCGUGCUUAACACAUGCAAGUCGAACGGAAAGGCUCCAGCUUGCUGGAGUACUCGAGUGGCGAACGGGUGAGUAACACGUGGGUAAUCUGCCCUGCACUCUGGGAUAAGCCUGGGAAACUGGGUCUAAUACUGGAUAUGACCUUUCUCCUUAUGGGGUUUGGUGGAAAGUUUUUCGGUGUAGGAUGAGCCCGCGGCCUAUCAGCUUGUUGGUGGGGUGAUGGCCUACCAAGGCGACGACGGGUAGCCGGCCUGAGAGGGUGAUCGGCCACAUUGGGACUGAGAUACGGCCCAGACUCCUACGGGAGGCAGCAGUGGGGAAUAUUGCACAAUGGGCGGAAGCCUGAUGCAGCGACGCCGCGUGAGGGAUGACGGCCUUCGGGUUGUAAACCUCUUUCAGCAGGGACGAAGCGUAAGUGACGGUACCUGCAGAAGAAGCACCGGCUAACUACGU